UCCUCUUCACCCUCGACACAUUGGACUUCAGACAAAACACAGACAGCUGCCCCCCCAGAAGUUCUCUGAUGAAACAGCCAUCGUUGGAUGUGAUCACAGGGGAACAAACUGAAAUACAGAUAAGUCAUUGCUAACUUUGUUAACCAGUGUGGACUAAACCACCUGCACUUCAGACUUCUGCAGGAAAGCACCACAGACGACACCAGUGUGCAUCCGGGGUCUGGACAUUGAGAUCUUGGAACAGUAAAAAUACCCGGGUGUCCACUAACACUGAUGCCCUGUACAGGAAAGGCCAAAGUUGUCUCCAUGGACUCCAUGAAGACUGAGGUCGUUUGGAGUAUGUAGGACAUUACUGAGAAGAGAGUGUUCAACUCCAGCGUUUCUUAAUGUAGCACAGGUUUCCAUAUUUGGACUGUUUGUUUUGCACUGAUGUGGGAUUUAUCACACAUGUAUUACCUUGCAAUGUUGCCCUCUCUCAUUGAGUACUCUUCCGAUCAGUACAUAAUGGUAUUAUGCUGUGACAUAUACAUAUUUAUUACUGUGCAAUAGCAUUAAUGCUGUAGUCGCUUUAUCCACCAUGUGCAAUUUGUGUUAAGUCCGUGAAAUUCUACAGAAUUUUUCGAAGUAUGUUUUUAUGAUAAUUUCCUUAUGGUAUAAAUGUACAGUUUGUAUUUCUCUUUUUCUGCUAUUUUUUCCAACUGCCAGUACCUACCUGUAAUACCCGAAUUUCACCAGCUGGGGAUUAAUUAGGUCUAUCUUACCUUAUCUUAUCCUGUGUGAUGUAUAAAUGUGUCCACCACUGUCUGAAAAAUACUUAUAACACAAUAGAUUUUGGCCAUAUUGCCCACUUUAUAUUAAUGUCAUUAUUUUAUUAAUGUACCCUUUUAUAACUUAUUUGAAGGCCAAAUCUUUUUGCUAUUUAGUUAAUUUUAUUUGUAAAUUGUAAAUAUAGUAUAGUAUGUUAAAAGACGAAAAAAAAAUCAGAAACAUGGGAGUUUUAUAAGAGUUAUGGACAGUUAAUGAAAUGAAAGACAAUUUAUCAAUUUAUUUCAUACACCUAGGUUGGUUUGAAUGUGUACAACAUGGUUACUUGAUAUUAAUGACUGUGCAUUUUGUGUUUGCUUAGAUGGUUGCAGGUGGACUGGUGAACCAUAGAGGAGUCUUCACAUUCAUCCAAGUGGACGGGUUAACUUGGAUUUGAUCCUCCACCUCAGUUAUCAGACCUUUGGUCCCAAACAAGGAAGUUGACAGACAGCUCAAAGAGCGUGCGACAGAUGUCUGCAACCACUGUUGAGGGUGUGGAGGGCUGCUCAUUACAUGCUGAAUACACAGAGUGAUUGACACAUACAUCUGGGUGUAGCUGCCAAAUUGGAUGCUGAUGAAGACAGUGUGUCGGAGGACCUUGCUGUUCAAAGCCUGAAGAUCUCAACAUCAAAGCUAAUACGUCAGACGACCCAGACGACAUCGGUAUCGUGGUGGAGUGCGUGAAAGUUCUGACUGCUCAAGGACGGGUUAACUUGGAUUUGAUCCUCCACCUCAGUUAUCAGACCUUUGGUCCCAAACAAGGAAGUUGACAGACAGCUCAAAGAGCGUGCGACAGAUGUCUGCAACCACUGUUGAGGGUGUGGAGGGCUGCUCAUUACAUGCUGAAUACACAGAGUGAUUGACACAUACAUCUGGGUGUAGCUGCCAAAUUGACAUUUGCAGGGUGAAGUCACCGGUUCAUGUGAUGAGGUGUGUCUUCAUGAGAAAAAGCUGUGUGUGAACAUACAGGCCACAGCCAUCACUGCUGAGGGGGGAGCUGGAAGGAGCCGGAGUAGACUGUCACC